GACCAGGAAUCCAUGGCUGAAGGGGCUGAUGGAGGAGCCGUGCUGAAGAACCUGCCUGAUGGAGGAGCCGUGCUGAAGGCCCUGCCUGGUGGAGGAGCUGAUGGAGGCCCUGCCUGGUGGAGGAGCUGAUGGAGGCCCUGCCUGGUGGAGGAGCUGAUGGAGGCCCUGCCUGGUGGAGGAGCUGAUGGAGGCCCUGCCUGGUGGAGGAGCUGAUGGAGGCCCUGCCUGGUGGAGGAGCUGAUGGAGGCCCUGCCUGGUGGAGGAUUCCUGUUGUUGGACCAUGAAUCUGUCUGAAGAGAGCUGGUGGAGGAGCUGAGAAGCUGUAAGACGAUUAGGAAUUUACCAACAAGGAUUCCUCACACACCUGAGCUGAACCUCACCUGAUCCUGUUUGGUCGGGUCGGACUCACCUGAGCUGAACCCCACCUGAUCCUGCUGGUCCCGUCUCCUCAGUUCAUCUUAGCCUCGUCUUCCAGAAGACCUGCUGAACUCAGCGGUCUGAUCCUGAUGGAUCAAUGACCUCCAGUGGGAGUGAUCUUCUUGACCCCACAUGUACCUGUGUGCUUCCACACGCCUUACCCUCACGUCUGUCACUAACCUCACUACUUCACUAAUCUCUACUCCUUGCCUUCUUCUUCCUUCUCCGUGGUUCGAACCUUUACUCUGAAGGAGUGUCUUCUUGAAGCUUUACACUGAAGGAACGUCUUCCUGCCCUCAGAGGGUUCAGCGUUAGGGUUGAGAGUCAGGGUUUAGAGUCAGGGACAGAGCUGGUCAGGG
ensembl:lncRNA